CCGACGGUGAGGGAUGAAAGCUGGGGGAGCAAACCGGAUUAGAUACCCGGGUAGUCCCAGCUGUAAACUAUGCAAACUCAGUGAUGCAUUGGCUUGUGGCCAAUGCAGUGCUGCAGGGAAGCCGUUAAGUUUGCCGCCUGGGAAGUACGUACGCAAGUAUGAAACUUAAAGGAAUUGGCGGGGGAGCACCACAAGGGGUGAAGCCUGCGGUUCAAUUGGAGUCAACGCCAGAAAUCUUACCCGGAGAGACAGCAGAAUGAAGGUCAAGCUGAAGACUUUACCAGACAAGCUGAGAGGUGGUGCAUGGCCGUCGCCAGCUCGUGCCGUGAGAUGUCCUGUUAAGUCAGGUAACGAGCGAGAUCCCUGCCUCUAGUUGCCACCAUUACUCUCAGGAGUAGUGGGGCGAAUUAGCGGGACCGCCGCAGUUAAUGCGGAGGAAGGAAGGGGCCACGGCAGGUCAGUAUGCCCCGAAACUCUGGGGCCACACGCGGGCUGCAAUGGUAGCGACAAUUGGUUUCGAAUCCGAAAGGAUGAGGUAAUCCACAAACGCUACCACAGUUAUGACUGAGGGCUGCAACUCGCCCUCACGAAUAUGGAAUCCCUAGUAACUGCGUGUCAUUAUCGCGCGGUGAAUACGUCCCUGCUCCUUGCACUCACCGCCCGU
rnacentral:rRNA from 1 species